rnacentral:rRNA from 1 species
GACCCGUCUUGAAGCACGGACCAAGGAGUCCAACAUGUGCGCGAGUCUAAGGGUGAUUUAAACCUGGAGGCGAAAUGAAAGUGAGCCCCUUAAUGGGGCAGGCCGAUCCCCUGUGGCAUAGUCGGGCAGAUUUGGUUAUGGCAACAUGACCGGUUUGGUUGGGCUGUGUUACGGCCGGUUGUGAGAACAGCCGGAGAUGGGGCGCAGGCCGAGGACUUGUCUUAGUGCGGCGCGGGCAACGGGUUGUGACCUCGUGUGGCUUCCUUAUCCCGAUGUCCGCCGGCAAGUACCUGAGAGCGCAGCCGUUGGGACCCGAAAGAUGGUGAACUAUGCCUGGCGAGGACGAAGCCAGAGGAAACUCUGGUGGAGGUCCGAAGCAGUUCUGACGUGCAAAUCGAUUGUCAGAGCUGGGUAUAGGGGCGAAAGACUAAUCNAACCAUCUAGUAGCUGGNUUNCUUCCCAA